rnacentral:rRNA from 1 species
CCCUUAGAUGUUCUGGGCCGCACGCGCGCUACACUGAUGCAUUCAACAAGCCUAGCCUUGACCGAGAGGUCCGGGUAAUCUUUGAAACUGCAUCGUGAUGGGGCUAGAUUAUUGCAAUUAUUAAUCUUCAACGAGGAAUGCCUAGUAAGCGUGAUUCAUCAAAUCGCGUUGAUUACGUCCCUGCCCUUUGUACACACCGCCCGUCGCUCCUACCGAUUGAAUGUGUUGGUGAGGAGCUCGGAUUGGCAGCAGUUGGUGGUUCGCCACCGGCUAUUGCUGAGAAGUCCUCCAAACCGCCCCAUUUAGAGGAAGGAGAAGUCGGAACA